rnacentral:rRNA from 1 species
CCUACGGGUGGCUGCAGUGGGGGAUAUUGCACAAUGGGGGAAACCCUGAUGCAGCGACGCCGCGUGUAGGAAGACGGUCCUCUGGAUUGUAAACUACUGUCCCCAGGGACGAAGAUGACGGUACCUGGGGAGGAAGCUCCGGCUAACUACGUGCCAGCAGCCGCGGUAAUACGUAGGGAGCGAGCGUUGUCCGGAAUUACUGGGUGUAAAGGGAGCGCAGGCGGCGAGUUAAGUCAGCGGUAAAAUUUCGGGGCUCAACCCCGACGAGCCGUUGAAACUGGCUUGCUAGAGUGGGCGAGAAGUAUGCGGAAUGCGUGGUGUAGCGGUGAAAUGCAUAGAUAUCACGCAGAACUCCGAUUGCGAAGGCAGCAUACCGGCGCCCAACUGACGCUCAGGCACGAAAGCGUGGGUAUCGAACAGGAUUAGAUACCCGAGUAGUC